UACGGAGGGUGCGAGCGUUGUCCGGAAUCACUGGGCGUAAAGGGCGCGUAGGCGGCCUGAUAAGUAGGGGGUGAAAUCCUGCGGCUUAACCGCAGGGCUGCCUUCUAAACUGUCAGGCUCGAGCACAGUAGAGGCAGGUGGAAUUCCCGGUGUAGCGGUGGAAUGCGUAGAGAUCGGGAAGAACAUCAGUGGCGAAGGCGGCCUGCUGGGCAGUGGCUGACGCUGAGGCGCGACAGCGUGGGGAGCAAACAGG
rnacentral:rRNA from 1 species